rnacentral:tRNA from 1 species
AGGAACAUAGCUCAGUUGGUUAGAGCGGUGGCCUUAUAAGCCAUGUAUCCCUGGUUCAAGUCCAGGCGUUCCGA